UUAACUUAUUUGUAUAUUACUCGGACAACACAAAAAUCAAGAGUUUAGGGUUCUCUGGCAGGCACGGACCAGCCUAAGCCAGUGGUCAUAAGACGGGCCUGCCAAAGCAACAAAGGUAAUAUAAACAAAGGGUGGGAGAUCUACCCGUAAGGGCAUGAACUCGGUAAUGAUCCCUCCGCAGGUUCACCUACGGAGA
rnacentral:misc_RNA from 1 species